AAUGAACGCUGGCGGCGUGCCUAACACAUGCAAGUCGGAUGUGCCGCAAGGUGCAUGGCAGACGGGUGAGUAACGCGUGGGGAAUCUACCUUUUUGUGGGGAAUAACGUUCCGAAAGGAAUGGUAAUACCGCAUGUGACCAUUGAUUGGGAUAUUGAUGGUGAAAGCUGGGGACCGCAAGGCCUAGCGCAAGAAGAGGAUCCUGCGUCUGAUUAGCUAGUUGGCGGGGUAAUGGCCCACCAAGGCAUCGAUCAGUAGCCGGCCUGAGAGGGUGAUCGGCCACACUGGAACUGAGACACGGUCCAGACUCCUACGGGAGGCA
rnacentral:rRNA from 1 species